rnacentral:misc_RNA from 1 species
GCAUAAAUGCUGCAUCCCUGUAGCGCUCUUCUUCCAAGGCUUUAUUUACAUGGGACAUCACUCUUCCAACAAUGUCCUUAGUAGCUGCAGCAGCAAUGGCCACCUUGAGUCUAGCAGCAUCUUCAUAAUCUUCUCUACUAAUAGCAUGAGCCAACUGUGCCUUUAAAACAGAAACCAACCGUUCUUCCUCCUCAACCUCACUAAAAUGCUUUUUCCAUCGUUCCCAAUCCCAUUCUUGAUCAUCAACACCAAUUUCACUCUUCCUCUCAUCAAGUCCCACUCCUUUUGACCAAUUCACAUAAUCAUCCAACUUUUUCAUCGCAUUCUUGACCGCAUCUUGAAACGCCAAAUCCCAUCUCCAAGAAGAAGAAGAAGAUGAGCUAUUCUGAGAAGAAACAGAUGGCGAUGGCUCAACAGUCUCACCAUCACCGGUACCAUUCCUGCAACGACAACAGAAAGCGGAACCGGAAACCCUAGAUAGUAAAUGAGAGGUUGAAAGAGUGAAAGACGAAGAUGAACGCUUUAAUCGGGAAGUGAAUUUAGGGUUUGAGAAGUUGAAUUUGUGAGUGUUUACAUCAAAUGUCGGCGGGGGAGUAAUCGACGCCAUGAAAAAGAGAAUAACAGCGUUGUCUCUUGAUUUAAUAAUAUCCAAAGAAAUAGUACUCAGUGAAUUUGCG